GACGAACGCUGGCGGCGUGCUUAACACAUGCAAGUCGAGCGGUAAGGCCCUUUCGGGGGUACACGAGCGGCGAACGGGUGAGUAACACGCGGGUGACCUGCCCUCAGCUCUGGGAUAAGCCUGGGAAACCGGGUCUAAUACCGGAUAUGACUCCAUGACGCAUGUUGUGGGGUGGAAAGCCUUGUGCGGCUGAGGAUGGGCCCGCGGCCUAUCAGCUUGUUGGUGGGGUGAUGGCCUACCAAGGCGACGACGGGUAGCCGGCCUGAGAGGGCGACCGGCCACACUGGGACUGAGACACGGCCCAGACUCCUACGGGAGGCAGCAGUGGGGAAUCUUGCGCAAUGGGCGAAAGCCUGACGCAGCGACGCCGCGUGAGGGAUGACGGCCUGU
rnacentral:rRNA from 1 species